rnacentral:rRNA from 1 species
GACAGAGGGUGCAAACGUUGCUCGGAAUCACUGGGCGUAAAGGGCGUGUAGGCGGGACAGUAAGUCGGGCGUGAAAUCCCUGGGCUCAACCCAGGAACUGCACUCGAAACUACUAUUCUUGAGUGUCGGAGAGGAAAGCGGAAUUCCUGGUGUAGAGGUGAAAUUCGUAGAUAUCAAGCGGAACACCGGUGGCGAAGGCGGC